rnacentral:sRNA from 1 species
AGUGAAGAAGCAUCUAUAUAAUAGAGGAUUUAUGUCGAACUAUUAUUUAUGGUUGCGUCAUGGGGAAGGUUGUAGAGAUAGUGCGGGCAG